rnacentral:rRNA from 1 species
AACGAACGCUGGCGGCAGGCUUAACACAUGCAAGUCGAGCGCCCCGCAAGGGGAGCGGCAGACGGGUGAGUAACGCGUGGGAAUCUACCCAUCUCUACGGAAUAACGCAUGGAAACGUGUGCUAAUACCGUAUACGUCCUUCGGGAGAAAGAUUUAUCGGAGAUGGAUGAGCCCGCGUUGGAUUAGCUAGUUGGUGGGGUAAAGGCCUACCAAGGCGACGAUACAUAGCUGGUCUGAGAGGAUGAUCAGCCACACUGGGACUGAGACCCGGCCCAGACUCCUACGGGAGGCAGCAGUGGGGAAUAUUGGACAAUGGGCGCAAGCCUGAUCCAGCCAUGCCGCGUGAGUGAUGAAGGCCCUAGGGUUGUAAAGCUCUUUCACCGGUGAAGAUAAUGACGGUAACCGGAGAAGAAGCCCCGGCUAACUUCGUGCCAGCCGCCGCAGUAAUAC